rnacentral:lncRNA from 1 species
ACACUGGAGCAGGAAGUCGGCCUGUGGCCGGCCAUGUUCAUGAGGGCGCGUCCCUUGGCACCCCUGUAGCCGCUAUGUUUCCCACGCCCGUGGCAGGCCUGAGAGAUUAUGUUUGCGGGGGGUGCUUUUUUUGUAGCUUCUGUGUUCGCCAUAUUUGAAAGGGGCAGACGGCCAUGUUCGUGAACGGCGCUUCCCUUGGUGCACCUGUGGCCGCCAUGUUUGAGCGAGGACCCCGUGGCAGGCCAGGACCGUUUCUCCGGUGCUAUCCCAGAGCAUGGCGCAUCCACUCAUUCACUCAAGGGAAAGGCCUGAAAGUAAAAUUGUAUCAACAUUAGGUUUGGCUAAUGUUGCCAUUAGGCAAACCUAAUUUUAAUGAAGCCAGGAGGUUCUCGUUUUGGGCCUUGACUGGACAGGUUUGAGCUAGAAACCACUUGAAGUAUUGAUCAUCCAUCUGAUCAUCAAGUUUUUUUUUUUUUUUGAGUUGGAGUCUCACUCUGUUGCUCACGCUGGAGUGCAGUGGCACGAUCUCAGCUCCCUGCAACCUCCACCUCCCGGGUUCUCCUGCCUCAGCCUUCCAAGUAGCUGGGAUUAUAAGCGUGUGCCACCAUGCCUGGCUACUUUUUUAUAUUUUCGGUUGAGAUGGGGUUUCACCGCGUGGCCAGGCUGGUCUCAAACUCCUGACCUCAAGUGAUCCGCCUGCCUCGGCCUCCCAAAGUGCUGGGAUUACAGGCGUGAGCCGCCACUCCCAGCUUGUUCAUCCAGUUUUUAUUGAGCAUCUAUUAUGUGCCGAUAUUGAGGUAGACUCUGGGAGUCACAGCAGUGAAUGCAGCUGCCUGGAUGCCUCGUGAGGGCCGGAGCCUCACUGGGGAGAUGGACAUGAACAGCAAAUGCACAGCGAGGAAAGCCAGGGGUCUGUGCGGGGAUGCUGCAGGACACGAGAACCAGCCAAGACCUAUGGCCCCUGCAGCCACCGAGGGCUCGAGAGCGCCCCUGUGGACUUGGCUGGGCCCUUCAUGGUGACAUCCAGGAAUGCGGCUGAGCGCGGGUGUUGACCUCGCUGUUUGCUGGAAUGUUUGGGUUCUUGGACCAUGUCAGUGACGGCUGUGUCACCAUGGCCUUGCUAUCCCCAGGAAAACCUAACAUGCACCCCGCGCCUGUCCUCUGGGACUCCCAUCCUCCUCCUUUGUCUGACCCCUGAGAGGCUUACCGUUUCCCCAGGGCAGCCCCGGCUGUGGCCCUCGGCCCUGCUCCAGGCGGCCAUGUCAGUGUCCUCCCUCGGCGCUCCCAACACCCUACCUGGCUCUGCGAUGGCCACCCUGGACUCCUAAACACCCCAGAAAGGGAAGAGAUUUAAGAGGAACCUUGAUUCCUGCCAUUCUGCGCAGUCGUGGGUCCCUCCUCCACCUGGGGCCCUCAAGGGGAUUUCUGUCCGCACUCCCAGCCAGCGACCCCUCCCAGUUCCUGCAGCUGGAGCGGCCCUCUCUCCUGAACAUUCGGGCACCUGCGUCUGUCACUGCAGCCAGAGGGCUGGAGUGUCUUCGGUCAACUCGCCAUCCCUGCCACGGCUGGAGGCCACAUGUCCCAGAACCUACCUUGCUGGGAUGGGGGUUGGGGUGGCAGAGGCUGAACGCGUGUGAGGUUUGGGGGAGGACAAGCGGAGCGGGGAUGUGUGGGAGGUCCUGGUGUCCACCGUGAGGAUGGUCACACCCCAUAGCUUUGUUGAUGCUGUGGCUGUAGCAGGCCCAGUGGCUCCGCUGAGCCUCCCUAGCACCAGUGCCCAGUGAAGUGUGGGGGGCUGGACAUAGGUGGCCUCAGUUCCUGGGACUCCCCCAAAGCUCUGGUUUCCCCCCUGCUCCCAGGCUUCAGGUGGACGAGUUAGUGACCACCCCCACUCCAGACCUCCCUCCCCUAGCCACCCCCACAGUUAUAAAAACCUUCAUUCUCAUAUGGAA